UCCAGAGAUGGACUGGUGCCUUCGGGAACUGUGAGACAGGUGCUGCAUGGCUGUCGUCAGCUCGUGUUGUGAAAUGUUGGGUUAAGUCCCGCAACGAGCGCAACCCUUAUCCUUUGUUGCCAGCGGUUAGGCCGGGAACUCAAAGGAGACUGCCAGUGAUAAACUGGAGGAAGGUGGGGAUGACGUCAAGUCAUCAUGGCCCUUACGACCAGGGCUACACACGUGCUACAAUGGCGCAUACAAAGAGAAGCGACCU
rnacentral:rRNA from 2 species